rnacentral:misc_RNA from 1 species
GACCAAGCUUAGGCUUGAUUUUGAGGUUGCGGCUUCGGCUGCAGCCUUUAAGAGAGGUGGCGGCGUCCGAUGGGCUCUAAGCGUAGUAAUUUCUCCUCGCUACAGAGUCUGCCGGCGCAUUUGGUACUCACUCCAAGCCAACCAAACCCCCCCAAUUUUAGUUUGACCUCGGAUCAAGUAGGGAUACCCGCUGAACUUAA